UUUUCUUCUUGUUCUUUUCUGGAUUGUUUUCAUCCCCAAUUGAAGUCCGGCCAGUGCCAUACCAUCUCAACGUAACAAUAGAGCAUACGAGCUGUUUGUUUUGUUUGUCACUAUGUCAUGACUGCUAUCAAGACAUGAAGACGUAUUCAGAAGGAGAUACUUUACGUUUUCGUUGUGUUCUGUAAUGUUGAUUCAAUUAACCUUUCAUGUGGGCCUGAGGCCAAGGGUGGC
rnacentral:lncRNA from 1 species